AAAAAAAAAACGUUCGAGAGAGAAAAAAAAAGAAAGAGGCGGGGAGAGAAAGAGAACGGGGAAGAGAGGAAGAGCGAAUUAGCGGUAACAGAAGUUCUAGUCUCAAUAGGUUCGGAAGCGGCAACGAGCAACGUUACUCCACGUAGGGAGUGAGCUCGUGUUAGUACUUUUGGCUAGACCUCAAGGUGGGUGUUCUUAUUUUUAAUAGCGGAAGAUGAGACACAGUGUAGAGUUAUUUUUCGUAUUGAAAUGGUUAAUAUUUGGCUUGAGCUCCUAAGCGAGAAUAUGGUCGAAGCCUUAGUGGCGUUAUAAUAUGGCCUUAGUGGCGUUAUUGAAUAUUGCCUUAGUGGCGUGGAUAAAUAUUGCCUUAGUGGCGUGACGACUCUUGCCUUAGUGGCGUAAAGAGUAUUGCCUUAGUGGCGUAAAUAUGGAAAUUGCCUUAGUGGCGUCAUGAGUAUUAAGUAAUGGAAUGUUAUUGUGAGGCUGAAUAUUCUUGUUUUAAAAUUGUUUGGAUAAGUACAUUCACUGAGCAAGUUGAUAGUUCACACCCCUACAGUGUUUUCUUUUCAGAGGUGUGACGGCACGCGGGUCCACUGCAGAGUCUAGAUAGGAGUUGUGUAUAUAAUAGUCUAGCUUUUUGACUCUUUUGAUUAUGUGCCCAUUUUUGGAGCUUGUAUAUGUUGUAAGUACAUGUGGCACGUCUUGUAUGACAGUUAUUUCCGUAUAUAUGCAAGUUAAGUUUUUUUUU